rnacentral:lncRNA from 1 species
AUGAGCAAACACUUGGUGACUGUGGAUGAGAAAAAACUCAAUUUUAACAGGAGGAAAUCUCUGGCAGAACCAGACUCAGUUGUGGGUGGCCAUCUGUCUCAACCAGUUGGGGUGAGGAGAAAAUGGGGGAGAGAGAACAGUAGGACAGAAAGACGUAACGUGCCAAGCAAAAUCCGAGGGGGUGGUUGUGUGUGUGUGUCUCUCCCCCUCCCCCCUCCUUUCUGUUUUCUCCCCAGGUGCCAACGACCUGAUUGGGUUCCACCUGUUAGCAGGCAAAUCGGUUAACCUGUUGCACAUUUUUUUAUCUGUUAACAAUAAAACUAAAGUUAUUUACACAUUAACUUUGACUCGUGCGUUCUUUUGGUACUUUCGUUGCACUCCUUCUUUCCAUUUAAAGAGGGAACGUAACAAAUGGGGGCAAAUUUUUCCCUGAGCUAGUUAACAACCAAAGUUUGUUGGGUCAUUGUGGUUGUAAAAUUAAAUUUCUGAAUAGUUUUAAGUUGCAGGACUUAAGGAACACUCCUACCUUCGAAAAAAUGGGAUUCAUGCUGCAAGGAUGAUUUAUUUUUGUGUGCCAUGUUGUUGUGCAGCGGUUUGGGCUAAUUUGGUUAUCAGCAAUAAUUAAUGAUUAUUAAAAUCAAUAGAGCGGGGCACCACCCGGAAACCGGGACCAAUAACCAAAUAGUCAAUUCAGUCUCAAGAAUUAAAGGUGAUUACUCAAAAUGUUAAAAUCUGGUAGAUAUGAGCAUUUAUGGAGUGAACUGAAGGUGUGAAUCCGAACGCUGACUCAACCAGCCUUAAUAACAAUGUACAUGCAAAUAACAACUUAUUUUUAAAUUAUAACAGCAAUUAUUAACUUUAGCAAUAUCAAUGUAAAAUCAAUACUACCUUUUUAUCAACAAAUGUCUAUUAUAAGCUAAGCUACCAAUCAUAUAUCAUACAAAAUGACAACAACCAUCAAGUGUGCAUGCACGUGAAAAGGGGAGGAACAAGAUGGUGUGGGACGUCACGUGGCGCCAGAAAGGUGGGGCGUAAGACCUCAAGUUAAACAGCAGUUACCUUUAAACGUGAUGAUGAGCCGGCACGUCUCUGGUCUUUAAACAGACAACAGUGUGCUGACUUCAGACACGAUGGCAGAGCAACACACAAAUCACAGUCAAGCAACACUGAUAAUAACGCAGUUAUUAUAGCAGCAAUAAACGGGACACGGCGGUCCGGUAAAAACUUCACAACAAUACACAGUAAGUUAAUUUACUGAAACACACAAAGAGCUUAAGCCCUUACUCUACUUUUUUGCAGGGAACAAGCGUGUGUGGUCCGUCCUUGCUUCCUAGCGACUGACGGCGGUGCACAGUCCUCCGGGUUCGGAUGGACGGCGGUCGACUCGGUUGAAAGACUGUGGGUUCAGGUCUUUCCUUCUGCUUUCAAUUGACAGAGUGUUCCGUUUCAACGGCUCUUGUCUCGGUACCGGUGCUUUGUGCGUUUCCAAAGCGCACAAGAAAGCGGAAAAAAGGCUGAUUUUUUAAACAUUCCUUUUUGAUAAAGCUUAUAGUUAGAACUGCUCAGGUGUUUAAUAAACCAUUUCUUUAUUAUGCUGUUAUAGGCCUAGACUGCUGGGGGAACUUAUAUCAUGAGCAUCUUUCUCCCUCUCCCAUUCUCUCCUUCUCCCUCUUUCUCUCUCUUUAUAUCUCUCUCCUUCUUUCCACUUUUUUUUCAAUCUCUCUCUCUCUCUCUCUGCCCCCAUGUAUCUACAUUACAUGUCACUAACUCUGUUUUCUCUCUCCCCUAGUAGAUCUGACCCCAGAGCUGCAGGAUCCAAACUUUAUUAUUAUUAUUACUAUUAUUAUUAUUAUUAAUAACAUCAUUGUAUUAUAAGUAUCAGUUUUCACUAAUUAUAAGUAUCAGUCUGGUAGAAAUUAAAGCAACUGUUAUACUACCCCCCCCAUCCCCCGAUAUGUUUACAGUACAUGUCACUAACCCUGUUUGUGAUUUCUAUCUCUCCUAGUGUAUCUCUGACCCCAGAGCUGCAGGACCCAAACCCGUCAUUAUUAUUGUUAUUAUUAAUAUUAAUGUUAAUAUCAUCACUAAUACUAACAACAACAUAAUUGUAUUUUUUUAAUUAUAGGUAUCAGUCUGGUAGAGAUUACAGCGGCAGUUGUACAACUGUCCUCUCUCUCUCUUCUCUCCUACUGUCUCUCCUCCCACCCUCUUUCUGCCCACCUCUCCUCUCUUCCUCCUCUCUCUCCUCACCCCAACCAGUCGAGACAGAUGACCGCCCACAACUGAGUCUGGUUCUGUCAGAGAUUUCUUCCUGUUAAAAGGGAGUUUCUUCUCUCCAAGUGCUUUGCUCAUUGUGGGAUUUGUUGGGUUUUCCCUGUAAUAUUGUAAUAUUGACCACACUAUGUAAAGUGCCUUGAGACAAAGUAUGUCGUGAUAUGGCGCUAUACAAAUAAAAUUGAAUUGAAUUGAAUUGACUCCAGUUCGCCCAGCGAAGUCGUAAAUCCUGGGUAAAUCCUCUGGUAGAGUAAUAGUCACGGAGGACGAAGUCUAAGUUAGAAGUGGUUGCCUCCUUUGUAGGACAGAGGAAUCCACCUGAUCAAAGCCAGUCUGGUACCUGGAGUUCAAUGAGCAGUUGGUGUCACAUUCUAUUUUAG